rnacentral:rRNA from 1 species
AUGGCAGCGGAGAAGAAGCCGCACUCGCAGCCGGCGCUGUCGUGGUCGUCCAUCCCGCUCGACCUGGCCGGCCUGGUGCUCCGCCUGCUCCCCACGUACGCCGACCGCGCCCGCUUCGCUGCGGUGUGCCCACAGUGGCGUGCCGCCGCGAAGCGGCAGCAGCUGCUGCCCCCACCACUGCCACUGCUCGCGCUGCCGGAUGGCACCUUCUACAGCCUACCGUAUACCAAGCCCUUCCGCUUCCCUGGCUGCGGCUUUGCUGGGUAUCAGAGUGCCUGUGGCAACUGGCUCGUCUUCCCCCGUGACGACGGCUGCUUUUUGGUCGACCCAUUCUCUAGGGAAACAGUGACGCUCCCUCUUCUCUCCAAUGUCCGGCUUCGGCCUCCAAAUGCAGUCGCCAAAUGGUCAGAGGACGGCACGGUGAAAUAUGCGGACCCUUACACUACAUGGAUGCAUAUCAAUACAUCUGAGAAGCUGCACAUAAGUAAGCUAAUCCUGUGCUCGCCAACUCUCGUUGCUGCACUAGUCGGCAUUGGACACACCAGUCAGAUUCUCAUGUGCCAGCCAGGGGCCUUGUCGUGGUCAGUACGCGCCUACGAUCGGUGCAAGCGGUUCGAAGACAUGUCAUUUUACCAGGGAAAGCUCUACGCCAUUGCCAAGGACGAGAACCUUCUUGUGGUUAACAUCAGCCAGGACCAAAGCACCGGCGAUCCGCAGGUCUCUCGGAUUGGACAAGUCAUUGAGGGUGAGCCAUGGUAUCCAGUUGUGUUCGAUGACAACACUAUACCCUGCAAGAAGCUCUACCUGGUUGAAGGGCAUGGGACGUUGCUGAUGGUUCGGAGGGCGAUUUGGUGCCAGGUACCUGGACCUGGAGUGCGUGGCAAAGUUGUUGCCAGAGAGAGCAGCUUUGAGGUUUUUGAGGCUGACUUUGAGCAUUCACGGUGGGUCAAGGUGUCGGCUUUGGGGGGUUUCAUGCUUCUAGGGCGAAGGUGCUCCAGGGUUUUGUCCUUGUCUCAGUAUGGGAUCCCCGAUGGUCACAUCUUUUUCUUGGAUGAUGAUGAGGAGAAUCUUGUGGAGUAUGGCUAUGACAAGGAGAACACUUCUUUCGGCACAUAUGACAUAAGAUCUGACAGGGUCCGUUCUGUUCAUCCAGAUAUUUCCUGGAAGCGUGGCGAUGAGAUGCGUCUGGCAGCAUGGCUCUUCCCGCAGGACUGA